AGCUCCAAUAGCGUAUAUUAAAGUUGUUGCAGUUAAAAAGCUCGUAGUUGAAUUUUUGCUUGCCGCCGAUGUCGGAACUUCCGUACGUUCGGCGGCGUGCAUCCUUGGGUGGAACCUGUGUGGCAUUAGGUUGUCGUGCAGGGGAUGCUCAUCGUUUACUGUGAAAAAAUUAGAGUGUUCAAAGCAGGCUUACGCCGUUGAAUAUAUUAGCAUGGAAUAAUAAGAUAGGACCUUGGUACUAUUUUGUUGGUUUGCGCACCGAGGUAAUGAUUAACAGGGACAGUUGGGGGUAUUCGUAUUCCAUUGUCAGAGGUGAAAUUCUUGGAUUUCUGGAAGACGAACUACUGCGAAAGCAUUUACCAAGGAUGUUUUCA
rnacentral:rRNA from 1 species